rnacentral:rRNA from 1 species
GACGAACGCUGGCGGCGUGCUUAACACAUGCAAGUCGAACGCUGAAGACCUGGCUUUUGUUGGGUUGGAUGAGUGGCGAACGGGUGAGUAACACGUGAGUAACCUGCCCUCUUCUUUGGGAUAACGCCCGGAAACGGGUGCUAAUACUGGAUAUUCACUGAUCUUCGCAUGGGGGUUGGUGGAAAGGUUUGUUCUGGUGGGGGAUGGGCUCGCGGCCUAUCAGCUUGUUGGUGGGGUGAUGGCCUACCAAGGCUUUGACGGGUAGCCGGCCUGAGAGGGUGACCGGUCACAUUGGGACUGAGAUACGGCCCAGACUCCUACGGGAGGCAGCAGUGGGGAAUAUAGCACAAUGGGCGAAAGCCUGAUGCAGCGACGCCGCGUGAGGGAUGGAGGCCUUCGGGUUGGAAACCUCUUUCGCUCAUGGUCAAGCCGCAACUGUGGGUUGUGGUGAGGGUAGUGGGUAAAGAAGCGCCGGCUAACUACGUG